GCUGAACGAACCGCUGGUCUACCGGCUUUGCCACCAGGUGAACCGCCGGGUAGCUAUGUUCGGAAGGGAUAAGCGCUGAAAGCAUCUAAGUGCGAAGCCCACCCCAAGAUUAGGUAUCGCCAGUGCGUAGCACUGGGCUCGAAUCAUCUCGAAUCGUGGCCUUCGGUCUCCCGAAUCAAUCGCGAAUAUUCGUGAAGGAUUCGUGAGCGAGCGAAGCGAGCCAAAUUCGUGAAAAUUUGUGUCCAGCGCUGCGCGCUGGUACGGUGUGGUCGAAGACUACGACCUUGAUAGGCUCUAGGUGUAAGCGCGGUAACGCGUUCAGCCGAGGAGUACUAAUCACCGACUUUAUCCAGCACC
rnacentral:ncRNA from 1 species